UGUUCUUUAGAUCCUUUAUCAGCGUGCUACUAGAAUUCAUGAAAAUGUAGCUUUUUUAGAUAGGACUAUCGAAGAAAUGGGACUAGAGCAUUGAAUAAAUUGAAUCUAUUGGAAUGAGUUUUUUUUAAGUAGAACUUGAAUUUUGCUGGAUAUAUCUCCAUGAGAUGUGUAGACAUUGAAACUUAUGGGAAAGAACUGGUUGUUGUUGUUGUGGUUGUAGUUGGAGGUUAGCAAAUGCAAUGAGUGCCAGCAGCCCCUUCCAGAAAGCUACGAGCCACCAGCUGAUGAACCUUGGACAACUGGAAUAUUUGGUUGUGCCGAGGAUACUGACAGUUGUGAGUUAUGCUCAUACUUUCACAGUUGUGAUGAUUAAGUGAUAAUUUUUCUUCACUCGUUAUACUUGGCCUCCUGAUGGUCUUGAAGUUCCAACGAUGCCUUUAUAAGAUGAAUGAAUCUGCGAAUUUUCCUUUGAAUAUGUGUUUAUGAUGUCUGUUAUUUUAGCAUGCUAAAUUAAAGCUAUUACUUGUUUUUUACUUCAAUUUUCCUUUCUGCAUAUUUUCAUUUCUAUCAAUAUAGCUUGUGAAGGGCAAUGCAUCAUCAAUAGCUGUUCAUGUGCCAACUACGAAGGCGAAGCCAGUCUUCCCAAAACCUGAGAAAGUGCCUCUUCCUUCAACAACACCUGCUCGUGCUUCUGAAGUCACGACUAGUGGUAGCAAUAGUACGUCAGAGACGAAUGAUUCCCAUAAAGGAGGUCACUCCAUCUUUGUUCGUAAUUUACCUCUGGAUGCUACCGUUACUCAAUUGGAGGAGGUAUUCAAGAAGUUUGGACCAAUUAAACCGCAAGGUGUACAAGUCAGAAGCCACAAGGUUAGAACAUAUUUAUUCUUCAAUCUGCAUUCAGAUUUAUUUGGAGAAGAAAGCCGGAAAGUGUGCAUUUAGUCUGUAUGUAAUGUCGCUUGUUUUUGCAGAUGGAACAUAAUUGUUUUGGCUUUGUUGAAUUUGAGUCAUUAGACUCCUAGCAAGCUGCGAUGGAGGUAUGGCUAGCUGCUAAUAUCUAAUUCUUAGAAGUGCUUAAAAAAGUGUGGAUUCAACUUCUCAUUUUUAAACAAUUGUUUUAGGUUAUCCCACACGUACAAGUUAGUUUUUUAUGGACUUUAGCGCUUGUAUUCUACUGUCUGCUAUCACUCUUUUUUUUUCAAUUAUUGCUUCUUCUUCCAUGUCCUUAUGAAACUGCAUCCUGUUUCACUGAGGGUUUUUUUCCUUCUUAUUUUUCUUUUCUUUUAAUUGUCUGAUUUUAUCCUGUCAGUGUUCUCUAUGCUGUUACCUAAUCGAGUUUUCUUUUUAGGCGUCAGCGAUAAUCGAGUUUUCUCUAUGCUGAAAUAUAUGCUCUUUUUAGUACAAGCAUUUUGUAUGGAAAUCACAUGGUUUCAUCAUUCUGGCUUAAAUUGAACUCUCCACAUGUUGUUCAUCAAUUUUAUUUAAGUUAGGGGACUCAUUAGCUUGUAAAAUUCUUCAGUAUAUUCUGCAACCGAGCGAUUAAGAAUGGAGCUUAUUUGGUCUUCUUGUUAUUGUUUCAGGUGAUUCAAGAACUCACAAAGUAAGACUUUCUGAACCGAGGGGAGAAAACUACAAAAAAAAUACAAAGUAAAAGUGUAUAAGCAUUAAAAAGAAACUCUCAUUUGAAUCAGAUGUAAAAGUUUUAAAGAAACUAGUGCGAGAGCAACUUAUGCAUGAUACUAUGUAACGAUGAAUUAUUAACUUUUGUUGGUUUGUAUUUGUUGGAUAUUUUCGAUCUCUAGUUUGUUGAAUUGUUAUAUCGAAUUAUUAACUUUUGUUGGUUUGUAUUUGUUGGAUAUUUUCGAUCUCUAGUUUGUUGAAUUGUUAUAUGCAACAUUUGAAGUUUCUA